UAUUAACGCUGGCGGCGUGCCUAAUACAUGCAAGUCGAGCGAACAGACGAUGAUCUUGCUCCUCUGACGUUAGCGGCGGACGGGUGAGUAACACGUGUAUAACCUACCUAUAAGACUGGUAUAACUUCGGAAAACCGGAGCUAAUACCGUAUAAUAUAUUGAACCGCAUGGUUCAAUAGUGAAAUACGGUUUUGCUGUCACUUAUAGAUGGAUCCGCGCCUCAUUAGCUAGUUGGUAAGGUAACGGCUUACCAAGGCAACGAUGCGUAGCCGACGGGAGAGGGUGAUAGGCCACACUGGAGCUGAGACGCGGUCAAGAGUCCUACGGGAGGGAGCAGUAGGGAAUCUUCCGCAAUGGGCGAAAGCUUGACGGAGUGACGGCGAGUGAGUGAUGAAGGUCUUCGGAUCGUAAAACUGUGUUAUGAGGGAAGAACAAAUGUGUAAGUAACUAUGCACGUCUUGACGGUAACUAAUAAGAAAGCAACGGCUAACUACGUG
rnacentral:rRNA from 1 species